AUUGAACGCUGGCGGCAUGCCUUACACAUGCAAGUCGAACGGUAACAGGUCUUCGGAUGCUGACGAGUGGCGAACGGGUGAGUAAUACAUCGGAACGUGCCCAGUAAUGGGGGAUAGCCCGGCGAAAGCCGGAUUAAUACCGCAUACGCCCUGAGGGGGACAGUGGGGGACCGCAAGGCCUCACGCUAUUGGAGCGGCCGAUGGCUGAUUAGCUAGUUGGUGAGGUAAAGGCUCACCAAGGCGACGAUCAGUAGCUGGUCUGAGAGGACGAUCAGCCACACUGGGACUGAGACACGGCCCAGACUCCUACGGGAGGCAGCAGUGGGGAAUUUUGGACAAUGGGGGCAACCCUGAUCCAGCAAUGCCGCGUGUGCGAAGAAGGCCUUCGGGUUGUAAAGCACUUCUGUCAGGGAAGGAAUCCUUUGGGCUAAUACCCUAGGGGGAUGACGGUACCUGAAGAAUAAGCACCGGCUAACUACGUGCCAGCCGCCGCGGUAA
rnacentral:rRNA from 1 species